GGUAUAUUAGGUGGUCAGUAGACAGCAGCUCAUCCUCUCUCUUCACAGACCAGCUCCACCUCUCAUCGACUUCCUUCUCUUCUCAGUGAUCCCACCAUAUCCCACAUGUGGAUGGGAGCCACAGCCAUUGGAAACACAGUGAUUUUUCCUCUGGAUUUCUGCAUUUUCCAACCUAUACAAAAUGUCUGAUUAACUCAAGCUCCAUCACUACCAUCAAAAGAUCUUCACAGCUCCUCACCUCCCUGAGUCAUCCAAAAUCAGGACAGUUAUGACCAGCUUUACUAUUUCAAGUCCCAACAGACCUCCCAGUUGAGGAAUGCAAGCAGACCUCAGAGGUA